AUUGAACGCUGGCGGCGUGCCUAACACAUGCAAGUCGAGCGGUAACAGGUGUAGCAAUACAUGCUGACGAGCGGCGGACGGGUGAGUAACGCUUGGGAAUCUGCCUGUUAGUGGGGGACAACCCGGGGAAACUCGGGCUAAUACCGCAUACGCACUACGGUGGAAAGCCGGGGACCGCAAGGCCUGGCGCUAACAGAUGAGCCCAAGUCGGAUUAGCUAGUUGGUAGGGUAACGGCCUACCAAGGCGACGAUCCGUAACUGGUCUGAGAGGACGACCAGUCACACCGGAACUGAGACACGGUCCGGACUCCUACGGGAGGCAGCAGUGGGGAAUAUUGGACAAUGGGCGAAAGCCUGACGCAGCGACGCCGCGUGA
rnacentral:rRNA from 1 species